AUGGCUCCUCUCAUCUUCCUCCUCCUGUUCGGCCAGAUCCUACUCUGUGCAGGCGUCGACACCAUCAACUCCGCCACACCGUUGUCCGGGUCACAGAAGAUUGUGUCCCAGGGCAGCAAGUUCACCUUGGGCUUCUACUCCCCACAGCAAGUUCACCUUGUACCACUGCUGACCCCCGUGUGGACGGCAAUUACCAAUGUGCUGGUGUCUCACCCGACCACCGCGUCCUUGGAAAUCGCCAAGGACAGCAACCUGGUCCUCCAUGAUCAGGCCAAGAACCGGCAGCUAUGGUCGAGCAACGUGAGCAUAUCCUCCAACUCCACCGUGGUCAUCAUGAGGGAUAGCGGUAGCCUCCAACUCACCGAUGCCUCCAAUUCAUCCAUGGUUUAUUGGCGAAGCAUAGACUAUCCCACAGACACCUGGCUUUCGGGGGCGAGCUCGGACUGA
rnacentral:rRNA from 1 species